GGCUUAAAGGGAGACCCUGGUAUUCCUGGUCUGCCUGGUCCAAGAGGAGAAAAAGGAGAUAUGGGUCCUCCAGGUCCACCUGGAUUGUCUAUCAAGGGACUGAAAGGAG